rnacentral:lncRNA from 1 species
AUUCUCCUCUGAUACGCAUGCGGAAGGACCUACCAGCGGGGCAUCUUGGUCAUUUUCCCCUUUCCGGGCUGGGUUGAAUGGUAGGGCUGAAGUUGAGCCUGGUGAGGGCCUGAUUACUGGGCCGAGAGGUUUGGGCCGGUUUGAUUGAGGAGUCUAGGCGGAGUCCGGCCCUGUGACUGAGCGGGCUGGACCUGGCUCUCGAGGGGAAUAUUGAAGCCUUCGGAUCAUGGACUGUUUUCAUGGGCCUGGCCUUUAUACCGGGGUGAAGAAAUCCAGCGAUCAUCAAUUGCCCCUUUAUCUCCUCAGCAGUUUCCAUGACUGGUGAGGGGAUAAAUCUUUAAACUCUAUUCAUGACCGUGCGGUCUGAGAACUGCUCUUGUCGAAAGUAUCCCUUUCUUGCCUUUUUAUUAUUUUUGUCUGAGCGUUGGACUCUCGUGUAUGUUUUUUGCCCCUGAGUAUUUAUGGGUUGUCUUUUCUCGAGCGUUUUGCGGGCUCUUUGUUGCCUGGACCUUUCUCUAGGCCAGCUGAGUUGGUUUAGUGUGAGCGGUCAAUUCCCGAGGUCGGUGCCUCUUAUGAUUGCCCCUGAUUCUCUGUUUGGCUUUGUAUUUUGGUAUGCAGUUUGCUUAGGAAUCGCCUUGCCUCAAUUCGGUCUGCCUAUUGGGUUUUCCAGUACUGCGCUCGUUUUCUUGAGAUCGGCAUGAUGCUUUGGUACUUUUGGCUGUUGUGUGAGAUCCAAGUCUCUCUACCUGAAGACUCGAGUUCCUUUGGGAGAUCGGAGUUUAACUUUUCAUUUAUGGUCUGUGCCCCAAUCUUUAUGUGAGAUCGGAACUACGUUCUUAUGAGUUGUUUUUGCUUGUAGCACCGGAUGAUCUUGGGGAUUCCGGCCAUUUUCGCUCCGGGAGAUCUUUGAGAUCUUCGCCGGUAUUCUACCUCAGUGAGGUCUUCUACCUCUCAAUGAGGUCUUCUGCCUCAUUGAGGUCUUCUGCCUCAGUGAGGUCUUCUGCCUCAGUGAGGUCUUCUGCCUCAUUGAGGUCUUCU